GAUGGCUGGUCUUGAUAGGUGCUUGCAUCAUGAUUUACAUUUGAGUGAGUGGCGAACUGGUGAGUAACACGUGGGAAACCUGCCCAGAAGCGGGGGAUAACACCUGGAAACAGAUGCUAAUACCGCAUAACAACUUGGACCGCAUGGUCCGAGCUUGAAAGAUGGCUUCGGCUAUCACUUUUGGAUGGUCCCGCGGCGUAUUAGCUAGAUGGUGGGGUAACGGCUCACCAUGGCAAUGAUACGUAGCCGACCUGAGAGGGUAAUCGGCCACAUUGGGACUGAGACACGGCCCAAACUCCUACGGGAGGCAGCAGUAGGGAAUCUUCCACAAUGGACGAAAGUCUGAUGGAGCAACGCCGCGUGAGUGAAGAAGGGUUUCGGCUCGUAAAACUCUGUUGUUAAAGAAGAACAUAUCUGAGAGUAACUGUUCAGGUAUUGACGGUAUUUAACCAGAAAGCCACGGCUAACUACGUGCCAGCAGCCGCGGUAAUACGUAGGUGGCAAGCGUUGUCCGGAUUUAUUGGGCGUAAAGCGAGCGCAGGCGGUUUUUUAAGUCUGAUGUGAAAGCCUUCGGCUCAACCGAAGAAGUGCAUCGGAAACUGGGAAACUUGAGUGCAGAAGAGGACAGUGGAACUCCAUGUGUAGCGGUGAAAUGCGUAGAUAUAUGGAAGAACACCAG
rnacentral:rRNA from 2 species